AGGAGGAACAGCAGCAGUGGCGGCGGUCAGCUCUAGAGCCCUGGAGUCAGCUCCCGCAGGAACUCUGGAGCUCUCGGUCUGCAGGGCCUGGAGGCUCCGGGGCGGG
rnacentral:pre_miRNA from 1 species